rnacentral:rRNA from 1 species
GACGAACCGAGCGAACGUUAUUCGGAAUCACUGGGCUUAAAGGGCGCGUAGGCGGGCGGCCAAGUCAGGGGUGAAAGCCCCCAGCUCAACUGGGGAAGUGCCUCUGAUACUGGUCAUCUCGAGGAAGAUAGGGCGUGCGGAACUCCGGUGGAGCGGUGAAAUGCGUAGAUAUCGGAAGGAACACCGGUGGCGAAAGCGGCGA